UACUGGGCGUAAAGAGCUCGUAGGUGGUUUGUCGCGUUGUUCGUGAAAUCUCACGGCUUAACUGUGAGCGUGCGGGCGAUACGGGCAGACUUGAGUACUGCAGGGGAGACUGGAAUUCCUGGUGUAGCGGUGGAAUGCGCAGAUAUCAGGAGGAACACCGGUGGCGAAGGCGGGUCUCUGGGCAGUAACUGACGCUGAGGAGCGAAAGCGUGGGGAGCGAACAGGAUUAGAUACCCUGGUAGUCCACGCCGUAAACGGUGGGUACUAGGUGUGGGUUUCCUUCCUUGGGAUCCGUGCCGUAGCUAACGCAUUAAGUACCCCGCCUGGGGAGUACGGCCGCAAGGCUAAAACUCAAAGAAAUUGACGGGGGCCCGCACAAGCGGCGGAGCAUGUGGAUUAAUUCGAUGCAACGCGAAGAACCUUACCUGGGUUUGACAUGCACAGGACGCCGGCAGAGAUGUCGGUUCCCUUGUGGCCUGUGUGCAGGUGGUGCAUGGCUGUCGUCAGCUCGUGUCGUGAGAUGUUGGGUUAAGUCCCGCAACGAGCGCAACCCUUGUCUCAUGUUGCCAGCGGGUAAUGCCGGGGACUCGUGAGAGACUGCCGGGGUCAACUCGGAGGAAGGUGGGGAUGACGUCAAGUCAUCAUGCCCCUUAUGUCCAGGGCUUCACACAUGCUACAAUGGCCGGUACAAAGGGCUGCGAUGCCGCGAGGUUAAGCGAAUCCUUUUAAAGCCGGUCUCAGUUCGGAUCGGGGUCUGCAACUCGACCCCGUGAAGUCGGAGUCGCUAGUAAUCGC
rnacentral:rRNA from 1 species